rnacentral:rRNA from 1 species
UACGUAGGUGGCAAGCGUUGUCCGGAUUUACUGGGCGUAAAGAGCGCGCAGGCGGUCGUUCAAGUCGCGUGUGAAAGCCCCCGGCUCAACUGGGGAGGGUCACGCGAUACUGAUCGACUCGAAGGCAGGAGAGGGAAGUGGAAUUCCCGGUGUAGUGGUGAAAUGCGUAGAUAUCGGGAGGAACACCAGUGGCGAAGGCGACUUCCCGGCCUGUUCUUGACGCUGAGGCGCGAAAGCUAGGGGAGCAAACGGG